rnacentral:misc_RNA from 1 species
AAAAGUCGUAACAAGGUUUCCGUAGGUGAACCUGCGGAAGGAUCAUUACUGGAUAUUCUCUUCAUCGAGAUAUCAUAUCAUGUGUGAACUGUUUAACUAGACACUUGGCGUGUUCGGCAUCACUUGAUUGCUGGCCGCCAUAUGGUUUUUACCACUCUAUCUAUUAUGAUUGACCCUGAAAAUGAGACUUGAAAUCAUUGAAAACUUUUAGCAAUGAAUCUCUAGGCUCUU